AACGAACGCUGGCGGCAUGCCUAACACAUGCAAGUCGAACGAGACCUUCGGGUCUAGUGGCGCACGGGUGCGUAACGCGUGGGAACCUGCCCUUAGGUUCGGAAUAACUCCCCGAAAGGGGUGCUAAUACCGGAUAAUGUCUUCGGACCAAAGAUUUAUCGCCUUUGGAUGGGCCCGCGUUGGAUUAGCUAGUUGGUAGGGUAAAAGCCUACCAAGGCGACGAUCCAUAGCUGGUCUGAGAGGAUGAUCAGCCACACUGGGACUGAGACACGGCCCAGACUCCAACGGGAGGACGCGGUGGGGAAAUUUGGGCAAGGGGCGAAAGCCUGACCCGCCACGGCCGGGUGGGGGAUGAAGGCCUUGGGGUUUUAAAGCUCUUUUCCCCGGGAGGAUAAUACCAGUACCGGGAAAAAAGGCCCCGGCUACCCCCGU
rnacentral:rRNA from 1 species